GACGAACGCUGGCGGCGUGCUUAACACAUGCAAGUCGGGCGAUGAAGCACCUUCGGGUGUGGAUUAGCGGCGAACGGGUGAGGAACACGUGAGGAAUCUGCCUUCCACUCUGGGAUAACUCCGGGAAACCGGGGCUAAUACCGGAUACUUUCAACUGGCGGCAUCGCCGGUUGAAGAAAGUUGUUCGGUGGAAGAUGACCUAGCGGCCUAUCAGCUUGUUGGUGGGGUAAUGGCUCACCAAGGCGACGACGGGUAGCCGGCCUGAGAGGGCGACCGGCCACACUGGGACUGAGACACGGCCCAGACUCCUACGGGAGGCAGCAGUGGGAAUAUUGGGCAAUGGAGGAAACUCUGACCCAGCGACGCCGCGUGAGGGAUGAAGGCCUUCGGGUUGUAAACCUCUUUCAGCAGGGAAUAAGCGAAAGUGAAGGUACCUGCAGAAGAAGCACCGGCUAACUAUGAGCCAGCCGCCGCGGUAA
rnacentral:rRNA from 1 species